rnacentral:sRNA from 1 species
CAGUGGACCAAACACGCUUCUCUUUGGUUCGUUAUCAAAGAUUUGGCACAGCAAACCGGACGCCCAUGCGUCUGAGAUCACUCAAUCUUACCUCGUCAUCCAGAUACAUUAAAAGGCUGGCCGGACAUGCUAUUUGCUACACAUGCCACCUAUAGGGGUGGCUGGUCCAAAAGCCAAACCUUAGGAGACCGACCGACCAUACCGCUAAUUAACCAGGUUUAAGGUCUCCCAUC